AAUCAAGUGCCUUAAGGGUGUUCGGUGGAUGCCUUGGCGCUGAGAGGCGAUGAAGGACGUGCUACGCUGCGAUAAGCCGUGGGGAGCUGCGAAGAAGCUUUGAUCCAUGGAUUUCCGAAUGGGGAAACCCACCUUCGAUAGCCGGAACUCCAAGACCUUUGUCGAAAGACAUUGGUGUGGGGUUCGAACAGAAAUGUGAGAAGCCUAAGCCUUUAGAUUUCGAUCGAAGAGGUUUUGGAUUUCCGGUUAUCAAGAGAAGGUAUGAGACUUCUGAAUACAUAGGAGGUUUCAAGCAAACCCAGGGAACUGAAACAUCUAAGUACCUGGAGGAAAGGACAUCAACAGAGACUCCGUUAGUAGUGGCGAGCGAACGCGGACCAGGCC
rnacentral:rRNA from 1 species